GACGAAGGAUGCAAGCGUUAUCCGGAUUCAUUGGGUUUAAAGGGAGCGUAGGUGGUCUUCUAAGUCAGUGGUGAAAUCUCUCGGCUUAACUGAGAAAUUGCCAUUGAUACUGGAGGACUUGAGUAUAGUUGCCGUUGGCGGAAUAUGACAUGUAGUGGUGAAAUACAUAGAGAUGUCAUAGAACACCGAUUGCGAAGGCAGCUAACGAAACUAUAACUGACACUGAGGCUCGAAGGUGCGGGGAUCAAACAGG
rnacentral:rRNA from 1 species